rnacentral:rRNA from 1 species
GCUGGCGGCGUGCCUAAUACAUGCAAGUCGAGCGAACAGAUAAGGAGCUUGCUCCUUUGACGUUAGCGGCGGACGGGUGAGUAACACGUGGGUAACCUACCUAUAAGACUGGGAUAACUUCGGGAAACCGGAGCUAAUACCGGAUAACAUUUGGAACCGCAUGGUUCUAAAGUGAAAGAUGGUUUUGCUAUCACUUAUAGAUGGACCCGCGCCGUAUUAGCUAGUUGGUAAGGUAACGGCUUACCAAGGCGACGAUACGUAGCCGACCUGAGAGGGUNNUNGGCCACACUGGAACUGAGACACGGUCCAGACUCCUACGGGAGGCAGCAGUAGGGAAUCUUCCGCAAUGGGCGAAAGCCUGACGGAGCAACGCCGCGUGAGUGAUGAAGGGUUUCGGCUCGUAAAACUCUGUUAUUAGGGAAGAACAAACGUGUAAGUAACUGUGCACGU